CCGCUCCACCGCGUGCGAUCGGUGAAAAAGGAAACUCCCGAACCCGCCCCAUCCCGUCCCCGAGCGUCUCCAUCGCCGCCAUCCGCGCUCCCUUCCAUCCUCCCCCGCCGCCACUACCUGCACUCCCCUCCAUCGUCCCCCGCUGCCGCCAGCCCCUGCCCUCGUGACUCCUCCAACGAUGGCCGCCACGAUCCCCGCCGCCUCCUCAAUCCCUACCGCAUCUGCGCCAUCACCAAGUCUCAUAGCCAUCGGCGAUGAUGCCUGCAGCCAGGCGACAGCGAAAGCUGACAGGUCGUGCCCGGCGUUGAUGGUGAGCCACCACCACUGGAUACUAGAGGGCCGACCUCUCCCCUUCUAGGUUCAUGAUUGCAGCAACUGAGGAACGAGUGGUCAACUACAUCGCCGCGAGAUAUCUGCAUGACAGCGACUCUCCGUGCAUCGAGCGACCUCUACCUGCAUCGUGUCCCAUGGUGAGCCACCAAUACUCCUCAAAGGCCUUCUUUUCUCUGCGUUCCACUAUGCACAGCCAUCCUCUCCCUCUCCUCACUACUGCUAUUGAGAUCUCCUCCAUCCUCCACUUCAUUCUUCCCAUCGGUGCCGUCCUCCUCCUUAUUUUCCCUGGUCCAUUCUGAACUAGAUCUGCCGACGUGUCGUGGAUUCACUUGAUCUUGCCCGAGGUAGUUUAAAGAUCCGGUUUUCAUUUGUGGCUGGUGGAUUAAGCAGCUGCAUUCCAGGAUUUUAGCACUGGAUGGUUCGAUGAUAUUGCCUUCGUUGGUUGGAAGAUUGGCGUGUUAGGAAUUAGGAUGGGGAUUUGGACAGGCGGAGAUUGAGUGGAGAUCCAAUUUGUUGCAUGCUGAUGCUAUGCUUGAAAAGCUUGGAUCUGUAGGACAGAGAAAACGACCAGUGUAAAUAGUUCUGAAGGAGCAGCUUGCAGUUUCCUAUUUCAGAUAGCGCAGAUUAUGUGAAGCCAUCUAAUGCGUUGGUGCUUGGCUGUCGGAUCCCAAGCUCGAUGCAUCCCGUGCUCCUAGCCACAUCCAUGCUGCGAGCCCUAAUUGGCUGCUGGAAAUCGUGUUUUGCAGCUUAGGCCAAAUCCUCUGCUCGGUGGACGGAUUUGGAGAUGAAAAGCGCCUCACAACCGUGAAGACUAUGAACAGGAGUGUAACGAAACUUCCAUGGUCUCUGCUAGCGACACCUCAAGAAGCUUUCUGCUGCCUCGGGAAAUGGUGCCGAAAAUGACUUUUGCUUCUGUAGUCGGUUUGCUAGAGCUGCAGCAGUAUCAGAGAAUAGUUUUGUUCAGAAAAUGGUUUCCAUGUGUUCAGGUUGUUCAAGCUGCACUUAUUUCUAGGAUACAAAGAUUGAAGCAGAGACUAAUGAAAUUUGAGCCUCAUGUGAGCACCAAAGAAGUCUCUGCGUCCUUAAACUUUUUAUAUUACAUAUAGCUCUUGCUCUGCAGGUAGGAAACUGUACACGAUGAUGUGUUUAUUUUACUGCAUACUUUAUUUAAGCAUUGUCACUUACAUGCUUCUCAAUCAUUGACUUCAAACCUUUAAGUUGUUACUGCCAUCCCCUAUUUCAUUGGGAUUUCAAUUUAGGCAACUUUCAUUAUAGUGCACAAAGUGGAAUUUAAACAAAAUACUUCCAGUUAUUUCUAUCUCUUAUAUGCCUUCUAGGAGCCCAACUGCAAAUUCACAAUCCAUCCGUUUCCUAUAACACAUUUCCCAUCUUAACUAAUCUAGGCUCCUGGCUAACUGACUCUACAACAGACCUCAUAUAGGACAUGCUGUGCCAAAGGUCAUUGCAUCACUUCAGAAAGCUAAUCCAUUAAUUUGUCGUCAGCUUUUGACUAUGCUCUUUUGAGAUACAGUAGGAAUAGUUUUUAAAACUUUUAUUUUAUUGUGAAAUGAAGUUUAUGAGCUGCUUAGUGGUUUAAACGCCACCAUAGGUCUUUAAAUUUGUGUUGUAUCAUAUAUUACUCCAGCACCUAAAACUAAAAUAACAAAUAUUCUCUUGAUUGAAAAGUCAUUUACUAUCCC